rnacentral:rRNA from 1 species
AUGGCAGGCGGCGGCGCCAAGUCACGGACGCAAGCUGCAAGACGGCGGAGGCAGAAGGCAGCGGCAGCGCUAGUGGACAUUGCGGCGCGCACCGACCCGGCCACCCUCGUGCGCUGUGCCGCCACGUGCGUGGACAUGCGCUGCCGCGUCAAGGAAUACAUCAGCCUCCACGGCCCCCUCCGCCUCCAGCAGGUAGACCGCUUCGUGCUCCCCCUCCUGCGCGGCAAUCUGAUCUACCAGUCCCACGGGUGGCCCAAGCCCGAGGAGGAGCUGUUUCUGGUGGACACCAGCGCGCCGGAUGCCACCAAGCUGCGCACGGCUAGCCGCGGAGGCUUUCCCCUCUCGUCACGCGAUGGUCUCGUCCUCGCCCGUGUGGGCUUGGUACAAGAGCUCCGCGUGUGCGACCCGGCCACCGGCAGGAGUCUCACCCUACCAUCCCAACAGGCGUUCCCAAGAACGUGGGGUAACUUAGUCUUGCUCGUCCGUGGCGAUGAUAAGGGGGCCACCUCCGUCUGCCGGCAUUUCCAAGUGGUCAAGGCAUAUCUGGAGAUGUCACAGUACGGCGGCAACCUGCAGCUCCAGACCUUCUCGUCGGAGCAUGGCGUGUGGGGCCUCUACACCAACAACUAUCUACCUAACCUAUUUGGCAACCACUUGCAACAAAGCCUCGGCAAGGCCCUGGUCACCGGCGGCACUGUCCACUGGUUGUGCCAGACUGACACCGGGUCCUAUGUCCUGAAGCUCCGUGUCAGAGCGGCAAAGGUGAUGGUGAGGAUGCUCCCAAAAGGGUUCCCACACCACGAACGACACAAACUUCUAGCAACAUCGUCGGCGGGUCGGGAUGUGCUCAUGCUCGUCGCUGAAGAGGACAAGAUAUCGGCAUGGGCACAAUCAAAGCAUACAGGCAAGUGGCAGCAACGGCCACAUGUGGUGAUCAACAUGACGGAGAAAAUUUUGCGGUUCCUUGACAAGGCAGGCGGUAGUUGCAUUCCGCCGACGAACCCAGUCCAACUCAAGCUAAUCGGUUUCGGCGAGACGAGUGGCACCGUGCUCAUCGACACAUGCCGUGGUUUCUUUUGGCUCGACCUGCAGUCCAUCAUGGAGAUUGUGAGGUGGUUCUUGGAUCAUAGGAUCCCAUACACGACCCAUAAUAUCCCCUAUGAGAUGAGUUUGACGGCUUGGGUUUCAACAUUCAAUAGCACUUUGUGA